GACGAACGCUGGCGGCGUGCCUAAUACAUGCAAGUCGAGCGAAUCAAUAGGAGCUUGCUCCUGUUGGUUAGCGGCGGACGGGUGAGUAACACGUGGGCAACCUGCCUGUAAGACCGGGAUAACACCGGGAAACCGGUGCUAAUACCGGAUAAUCCUUUUCCUCUCAUGAGGAAAAGCUGAAAGUCGGUUUCGGCUGACACUUACAGAUGGGCCCGCGGCGCAUUAGCUAGUUGGUGAGGGAACGGCUCACCAAGGCGACGAUGCGUAGCCGACCUGAGAGGGUGAUCGGCCACACUGGGACUGAGACACGGCCCAGACUCCUACGGGAGGCAGCAGUAGGGAAUCUUCCACAAUGGACGAAAGUCUGAUGGAGCAACGCCGCGUGAGCGAUGAAGGCCUUCGGGUCGUAAAGCUCUGUUGUUAGGGAAGAACAAGUACCGGAGUAACUGCCGGUGCCUUGACGGUACCUAACCAGAAAGCCACGGCUAACUACGUGCCAGCCGCCGCCGUAAUAC
rnacentral:rRNA from 1 species